rnacentral:rRNA from 1 species
CAUGCCGCGUGUGUGAAGAAGGCCUUAGGGUUGUAAAGCACUUUCAGCGGGGAGGAAAAAUUGUUGGCUAAUACCCAACGACCUUGACGUUACCCGCAGAAGAAGCACCGGCUAACUCCGUGCCAGCAACUGCGGUGACUGAGCGGGCUGGCAAGGCGCAUA